rnacentral:misc_RNA from 1 species
CUGAAGACUUCUACAGUUGUUCAAAUCUAAUCGUUCAAGCUUGGAGAGGCGAUUGAUGCUUGCAGGUAGACUAAUGAAGUUGUUGCCGCUCAGAUUAAUUUCUCUCAAGGAGGAUAAGCAACUGAGAUUGCUGGGAAUUGUUCCGUCCUGAAUAUUACAGUUACUUAGAUCUAAUGCCAUGAGAGAGCAAAAACCUGAUGCAUUUGAACCUUUUCCAGGCAACACGGAUAAUAGGGAACUCGUUUGUCCUUUACAUCCACUGAUAGAGAAAAUCUUAAGGUUCUUGAAGUGAAACAAGGAAGAAGAUGCUUGUUUUAUUUCAGUUUCACUUACGUCAAGCUCCUCCAAACUUUCGACAUGCCCCAAUUCCUCCACCGUGUAGUCAAGUUUUGAACAACCUGAUAUAUUAACAAUUUUAAGCGUCUUUAAACCGUAUAUACCUUCUGGAAGACUCACAAGCCUUUUGCAGUCUUUCAGGUUCAAUACAACUAGUCUUUCAAGAACCACAAUGGACUGGUCAAUCUCAUGCAAUUUUAUACAACCUUCAAGAAUCAGCUUCUCAAGAUUUGGG